rnacentral:rRNA from 1 species
AUUGAACGCUGGCGGCAUGCUUUACACAUGCAAGCCGAACGGUAACAGGCCGCAAGGUGCUGACGAGUGGCGAACGGGUGAGUAAUGCAUCGGAACGUGCCCAGUCGUGGGGGAUAACGCAGCGAAAGCUGCGCUAAUACCGCAUACGAUCUAUGGAUGAAAGCGGGGGACCGUAAGGCCUCGCGCGAUUGGAGCGGCCGAUGUCAGAUUAGGUAGUUGGUGGGGUAAAGGCUCACCAAGCCAACGAUCUGUAGCUGGGCUGAGAGGACGACAAGCCACACUGGGACUGAGACACGGCCCAGACUCCUACGGGAGGCAGCAGUGGGGAAUUUUGGACAAUGGGCGCAAGCCUGAUCCAGCAAUGCCGCGUGCAGGAAGAAGGCCUUCGGGUUGUAAACUGCUUUUGUACGGAACGAAACGGUCCUGGUUAAUACCCGGGGCUAAUGACGGUACCGUAAGAAUAAGCACCGGCUAACUACGUGCCAGCCGCCGCCGUAACAC